rnacentral:rRNA from 1 species
AUUGAACGCUGGCGGCAGGCUUAACACAUGCAAGUCGAGCGAGCGGCGGACGGGUGAGUAUUGUCUGGGAAACUGCCUGAUGGCGGGGGAUAACUACUGGAAACGGUAGCUAAUACCGCAUACCAUCAGAUGUGCCCAGAUGGGAUUAGCUAGUAGGUGGGGUAAUGCCACACCUAGGCGACGAGCCCUAGCUGGUCUGAGAGGAUGACCAGCGACACGAGGACUGAGACACGGUCCAGACUCGUACGGGAGGCAGCAGUGGGGAAUAUUGCACAAUGGGCGAAAGCCUGAUGCAGCAAUGCCGCGUGUGUGAAGAAGGCCUUCGGGUAAUAAAGCACUUUCGGCGAGAAGGCAUUACUCGCAGAAGAGGCACCGGCUAACUACGUGCCAGAAGCCGCGGUAAUUC